rnacentral:rRNA from 1 species
CUGCUAAGACUGGAUAGGAAACAAAAAGGCAUCUUUUUGUUUUUAAAAGACCUUCUUAUGAAGGUAUGCUUAAAGAGGGGCUUGCGCCACAUUAGUUAGUUGGUAGGGUAAAAGCCUACCAAGACGAUGAUGUGUAGCUGGACUGAGAGGUUGAACAGCCACAUUGGGACUGAGACACGGCCCAAACUCCUACGGGAGGCAGCAGUAGGGAAUUUUCGGCAAUGGAGGAAACUCUGACCGAGCAACGCCGCGUGAACGAUGAAGUAUUUCGGUAUGUAAAGUUCUUUUAUUGAAGAAGAAAAAGUAGUGGAAAAACUAUAUUGACGUUAUUCAAUGAAUAAGCCCCGGCUAACUAUGUGCCAGCAGCCGCGGUAAGACAUAGGGGGCGAGCGUUAUCCGGAAUUAUUGGGCGUAAAGGGUGCGUAGGCUGUUAGAUAAGUCUAUAAUUUAAUUUCAGUGCUUAACGCUGUCUUGUUAUAGAAACUGUCUUGACUAGAGUGAGAUAGAGGCAAGCGGAAUUCCAUGUGUAGCGGUAAAAUGUGUAAAUAUAUGGAGGAACACCAGAAGCGUAGGCGGCUUGCUGGGUCUUUACUGACGCUGAGGCACGAAAGCGUGGGUAGCAAACAGGAUUAGAUACCCUGGUAGUCCACGCCGUAAACGAUGAGUACUAAGUGUCGGGGUAAAACUCGGUACUGAAGUUAACACAUUAAGUACUCCGCCUGAGUAGUACGUACGCAAGUAUGAAACUUAAAGGAAUUGACGGGACUCCGCACAAGCGGUGGAUCAUGUUGUUUAAUUCGAAGAUACACGAAAAAUCUUACCAGGUCUUGACAUACUCUGCAAAGCUAUAGAAAUAUAGUGGAGGUUAUCAGGGAUACAGGUGGUGCAUGGUUGUCGUCAGUUCGUGUCGUGAGAUGUUAGGUUAAGUCCUAAAACGAGCGCAACCCUUGUCGUUAAUUGCCAGCACGUAAUGGUGGGGACUUUAGCGAGACUGCCAAUUAAACAUUGGAGGAAGGUGAGGAUUACGUCAAAUCAUCAUGCCCCUUAUGAUCUGGGCUNCAAACGUGAUACAAUGGCUGUGACAAAGAGUAGCUGAAACGCGAGUUUUUAGCCAAUCUCAAAAAAGCAGUCUCAGUUCGGAUUGAAGUCUGUAACUCGACUUCAUGAAGUUGGAAUCGCUAGUAAUCGCGAAUCAGCAUGUCGCGGUGAAUACGUUCUCGGGGUUUGUACACACCGCCCGUCAAA